rnacentral:rRNA from 1 species
UAAUACGGAGGGUGCGAGCGUUAAUCGGAAUUACUGGGCGUAAAGGGUGCGUAGGCGGCUUGAUAAGUCGGAUGUGAAAGCCCCGGGCUUGACCUGGGAAUUGCAUUCGAUACUGUCAGGCUAGAGUAUGUCAGAGGUUGGCGGAAUUCCUGGUGUAGCGGUGAAAUGCGUAGAUAUCAGGAGGAACACCGGUGGCGAAGGCGGCUGACUGGGACAAUACUGACGCUGGGGCACGAAAGCGUGGGGAGCAAACAGGAUUAGAUACCCUGGUAGUCCACGCCCUAAACGAUGAGAACUGGCUGUUGGGGGAUUAACUCUCUCGGUAGCGAAGCUAACGCGUUAAGUUCUCCGCCUGGGGAGUACGGCCGCAAGGUUG